AUGGUUCUGCUAUCACUCUUGGGAUGGACCUGCGGUGCAUUAGCUAGUUGGGUAGGGGUAACGGCCUACCAAGGCGAUGAUGCAUAGCCGAGUUGAGAGACUGAUCGGCCACAUUGGGACUGAGACACGGGCCCAAACUCCUACGGGAGGCAGCAGUAGGGGAAUCUUCCACAAUGGACGCAAGUCUGAUGGAGCAAACGCCGCGUGAGUGAAGAAGGGUUUCGGCUCGUAAAGCUCUGUUGUUGGUGAAGAAGGACAGGGGGGUAGUAACUGUACCUUUGUUUGACGGUAAUCAAUUAGAAAAGUCACGGGCUAACUACGUGCCCAGCAGCCGCGGGUAAAU
rnacentral:rRNA from 1 species